rnacentral:rRNA from 1 species
CCUACGGGAGGCAGCAGUGAGGAAUAUUGGUCAAUGGGCGAGAGCCUGAACCAGCCAAGUCGCGUGAAGGAUGACGGCACUACGGGUUGUAAACUUCUUUUGUCAGGGAGCAAUUGAGUCCACGUGUGGUUUUAGCGAGAGUAUCUGAAGAAAAAGCAUCGGCUAACUCCGUGCCAGCAGCCGCGGUAAUACGGAGGUUGCGAGCGUUAUCCGGAUUCAUUGGGUUUAAGGGUUGCGUAGGCGGAAUAUCAAGUCAGCGGUAAAAAUUCGGGGCUCAACCCCGUCGAGCCGUUGAAACUGAUGUUCUUGAGUGGGCGAGAGGUAUGCGGAAUGCGUGGUGUAGCGGUGAAAUGCAUAGAUAUCGCGCAGAACUCCGAUUGCGAAGGCAGCAUACCGGCGCCCAACUGACGCUGAGGCACGAAAGCGUGGGUAUCGAACAGGAUCAGAUACCCUAGUAGUC